rnacentral:rRNA from 1 species
AACGAACGCUGGCGGCAGGCCUAACACAUGCAAGUCGAGCGCACCCUUCGGGGUGAGUGGCGGACGGGUGAGUAACGCGUGGGAACGUGCCCUUCUCCGCGGAAUAGCCUCGGGAAACUGAGAGUAAUACCGCAUACGUCCCUCUGGGGAAAGAUUCAUCGGAGAAGGAUCGGCCCGCGUUGUAUUAGGUAGUUGGUGGGGUAAGGGCCCACCAAGCCGACGCUCCAUAGCUGGUUUGAGAGGAUGGUCAGCCACACUGGGACUGGGACACGGCCCAGACUCCUACGGGUGGCAGCAGUGGGGAAUCUUAGACAAUGGGGGCAACCCUGAUCUAGCCAUGCCGCGUGAGUGAUGAAGGCCUUAGAGUUGUAAAGCUCUUUAAGCUGGGAAGAUAAUGACGGUACCAGCAGAAGAAGCCCCGGCUAACUCCGUG